CCUGUUCCCGGGUGGGGCUCCACGGUCUGGCUGGCGGGGAAGCAGGAGCUCUCUCUGAUUUACUUCUUUUUUUCGAGUUCAGGCAUAGCUUUGUUAUUUUUACCAAAAGGUUGCACGUCUGGAAGUAAUUAAAAGGGAAAGAAAUCCUAGUUGAAAGAAAGAACCAUAGAAAGAGAGCGAGGGAAGAAAGAGGUGCGCCUCCCACUUUGGGAACAUCUCUCUCCCCUCCUAUGAACACCUUGCAAUGGACAUUAAGUGUCUCCUACAUAGAGGGAUUGGCCCAAGGCCAUAGGCAACAUGUGGCAGAGAAGGCUGAGCCAGAUCCUGCUUUAAUUCUAGCUGGAUGCAGGUGCUUCUUCAUAGGAGAAAAUGGAAAGUCACCAGGUGCGGUGAAGCAUACAGCUUGAACGUCAACACUUCAUAUGUAGUGCUUUGCAUGCGGCUGCCUUUUCAUCCACAUGAGAAAGGUGUAGACUACGAGUGGAAUUCCUGGGCCAUAUGUUAACUCUAUGUUUAACCUGUUGAUGAACUGUUUUCCAAAGCAGUGCACCAUUUUCCCAAUAUCAAGGCACAAGGAUUAUUUUCUGGACUCUCUAUUGUUUGUUAAUCUACUUGUCUGUUAUUUCACCAAUACCAUACUAUCUUUAUUACUUUAGCUUAGAGCAAGUUCUUAAGUCAGGU